GACGAACGCUGGCGGCGUGCUUAACACAUGCCAGUCGAACGGAAAGGCCUCUUUCGGGGGGUACUCGAGUGGCGAACGGGUGAGUAACACGUGAGUAACCUGCCCUUGACUUUGGGAUAACUUCAGGAAACUGGGGCUAAUACCGGAUAGGAGCUCCUGCUGCAUGGUGGGGUUGGAAAGUUUCGGCGGUUGGGGAUGGACUCGCGGCUUAUCAGCUUGUUGGUGGGGUAGUGGCUUACCAAGGCUUUGACGGGUAGCCGGCCUGAGAGGGUGACCGGCCACAUUGGGACUGAGAUACGGCCCAGACUCCUACGGGAGGCAGCAGUGGGGAAUAUUGCACAAUGGGUGGAAGCCUGAUGCAGCAACGCCGUGUGCGGGAUGACGGCCUUCGGGUUGUAAACCGCUUUCGCUCAUGACGAAGCUUUGUGUGACGGUAGUGGGUAAAGAAGCACCGGCUAACUACGUG
rnacentral:rRNA from 1 species